AGAAAAAAAAAUCUGCUAAAAAUUCUGAACAAUGUUGACUUAUGAAUGCUGUAGAACAACUGUUGCUUCAAUAAACAGGAUUAGUUUUGGAUUACUUUUUCUACAAGGACUCUGGAGCACUGCCUUACUCCUCCUUGCUGUGGAACGUCAACCCCUUCAGAUCUCCAUGGUUAUCUCACAGAAUGAAAAGUAAAAGCAUUCUGGGAUGAUUACAUAAAAACAUGUAAAGGAAAAUUUAAAGCUGGGAGGACUGAAAUACGCCCAAGAGAGUGUCCAGAAUAUCAAAGGUAGUGGAAAAGAAGCAUCC